rnacentral:tRNA from 2 species
GCGAGAGUGGCGGAAAUGGUAGACGCACUGGAUUUAGGAUCCAGCGGCUUGCCCGUGCGGGUUCAACUCCCGCCUCUCGCACCA